UACAGAGGGUGCGAGCGUUGUUCGGAAUUACUGGGCGUAAAGCGCGCGCAGGCGGCCCUUUAAGUCCGUCGGUCAAAUGCCGGGGCUCAACCCCGAGCGUGCCGAGGAUACUGGAGGGCUGGAGACACGUAGAGGCAAGCGGAAUUCCUGGUGUAGCGGUGGAAUGCGCAGAUAUCAGGAGGAACACCAACGGCGAAGGCAGCUCGCUGGGGACGGUACUGACACUGAGGCGCGAAAGCGUGGGGAGCGAACAGG
rnacentral:rRNA from 1 species